rnacentral:rRNA from 1 species
UCUAUCAAACUAAUCUAGUUUGCUACUAACCAGCUUGAGACUGGUUGUGUACUGAAGCUAAGCAGGGUUGAGCUGGUCAGUAUCUGGAUGGGAGACCUGCUGGGAAAACUAGGUUGCUGCUGGAA